rnacentral:misc_RNA from 1 species
CUGAAAUAUAAUGCCUAUAGCACAAAUUGAAAGAAAAGAAUUCGGGUUAACAGAAUCAGUAUACCUAUGGAUUAUUACACUUGAAAGUCAUGGAUUCAAUGCCAAAAUCUUAACUUAAAAAUAGCAAGAUAAAUCCACCAACCCAAGGUAGAAGAAAUAACCAGGAUAUUGAAGGUGAAGUACAUCUGAAAUUAUGCAAAAGGAGAAAAACAUUUCUCUCAAAAUGUUCCUAGUCUGCUCAAUGGAGAAUUCUAGAACAGUUCAAGCAAAUCAUAACUUAAAAUCUAAAACAUUAGUAGAUUUCCAGCUUUCUGUUUAGGAUGUGAUGAAGAUCCUGGCAUCUGGGCCAACAAUAGAAAGCUUGAUUCAAUGGCGAAGAAGUUAGGAUGAAACUUUCAAGCUUUUCAAUGCCGAACCAAGCACAGAAACCUUGUCGGAAGCUCUUUGCUUGUAGUCUUUUUCCAAGGCUGCUGUUGCAAGAGAUUGCAGGUCUGGACUAUCCUUUUCUUCCUUGUUUCGCCCUUUUGUAAGUUGUGCGAUGGCAGAUGUACACAAACAAAUACCAAAAAGCGCUCUGGUGUUCUUGCCCCCAGUCAACUCUAUUGCGGAUGAAUAAUAUUUCUUAGCUGCCUGAAGGUUUUCUAGUCCACCAAGUGUGUACAGCACAUCAGCAUAGGCUAAAUGAUAUAGUGGAACUGUAGGCUGUGCCAAUAUUAACUCUUCAUAGCAGAAUGCUGCUUGUUUAUACCUAAUAUAUUGAAGUGAAGACAUAGAUUAAGCUGUUGAGAAAGUAUUCAGCUGCAACAUAACUGAAGGAAUUUGGUAGACAUUAGCUUUUUUAAGAUAUAACUUAGAAAGGAAAACUCACAUCUGUAGGGAAACAUAUAUCUCAGCAAGUUCUCUCCAGGUAUCAGAAUCAGCCAUAAAUCUACCAAAGUUGGAAGGGAAUAAACAAGAAAAGAACAAAACCCAUCUGUGUGUUACACUAAAACAUUAUCAGAACACAAGAAAGUAGGGUUUUGAGAUAUGCCUCACAUUUCAAGAUAUUUGUUGAUAAAUUCAAUAGCCUCUGACAUGUUGCCUUGUGCCUUUGCCAAAGCCACCCUCCUUUUAUGUAUUACCUGAUCCAAUGGAUUGUCCUCUAGCAGGCUUAAGUAAGCCUUUUCUGCCUCUGUCCAAGACCCCUUUGCUUCAAGUAACAUGCCCUCCAGUCUGCCUGUGAUUUAUGCCAAAUCAACAAUACUCAGCCAUCACAAAUCAAUGAGUUCAAGAAGUGUAUUUCUUCCUGAAAUCUAUUGGGCACCAUUCAAGGUUCAAAGUGUCAAACUACAGUCUAUCAUUCACGGAUGCAUAAAAGGAAGUCCUCCCUCUCUAUCACCAUUCACCAAACCAUUGAAUGUUGAAAGUCUAAUGAAGAGUUUUAGGAAUUUAACUAAACCCAAAGAAAUAUCGAUAUUGGAUCGAUGUCAAGAAUUAGUUAUUUUAAGAAAAACUUUGAAACUUAACUAUUUAGAGCUCAUUUUGUCUUCUUAUUAUAUUACGCAUUAGGAUUAAUUGUUUUCUAGAAAGAAAAAAAGGGGUAGACC